rnacentral:rRNA from 1 species
AGUGAACGCUGGCGGCAGGCCUAACACAUGCAAGUCGAGCGGCAGCGGGUUCCCGCGAGGGGAUGCCGGCGAGCGGCGGACGGGUGAGGAACACAUCGGAAUCUGCCUGGUUGUGGGGAGUAACGUAGGGAAACUUACGCUAAUACCGCAUGAGACCCUCGAGUCGACGGACGUGGGGGUGGAAAGUAGAGGGACCGUUCGG